rnacentral:rRNA from 1 species
AAAAACAUAGCCCUACGACACUCUUGUAAGGUGAAGCCUGCCCAAUGACUGCCAAUAAUCUAAUAAAAAUCAGUUCAAUGGCCGCGGUAACUCUGACCGUGAUAAAGUAGCAUAAUCACUUGUCACUUAAUUGGUGACUGGAAUGAAUGGCUAAACGAAUCCUCCUCUGUCUCUGAAGAAAUCCUGGCAAAUUUGAAAUAGCAGUGAAGAUGCUGCUAAAUAAUUGUAAGACGAAAAGACCCUAUCGAGCUUUACUGGAAUCUUGCAAAGUAACAUAGUUAUUAAAGACAAAAUUAUACAAAUUGCAAGCCCGACAGUUUGGUUGGGGCGACCACCCCUAAAAACGUAUCAGGGGAACUCUAAAGGCUGUCAUAAUAUGAAAAACCGCCUUACUGGAGACAAACAAGUCAAUCAGUUAUAAUUUAUAGGACAUAUUGACCCGUUAUUUAGCUUCACAACAAAUAACGAUUAUGAAAAAAGUUACCGUAGGGAUAACAGGGUAAUA